rnacentral:tRNA from 1 species
GGCGGACGUAGCCAAGUGGAUUAAGGCAGUGGAUUGUGGAUCCUCCAUUCGCGGGUUCAAUUCGGG